rnacentral:rRNA from 1 species
ACGGCUCAGUAACACGUGGAUAACCUACCCAAGAGUCCGGGAUAACCCCGGGAAACUGGGGAUAAUACCGGAUAGGUCAGACUUGCUGGAAGGCUGUUUGGCUGAAACUUCCGGGGCUUUUGGAUGGGUCUGCGGCUGAUUAGGUUGUUGCCGGUGUAACGUACCGUCAAGCCUGUAAUCAGUACGGGUUGUGGGAGCAAGAGCCCGGAGAUGGAUUCUGAGACACGAAUCCAGGCCCUACGGGGCGCAGCAGGCGCGAAAACUCUACAAUGCAGGCAACUGCGAUAGGGGAACAUCGAGUGAUCCUCAUAUUGGGGGUCUGUCCACCCGCCUAAAAAGCGGGUGUUAGCAAGGGCCGGGCAAGACCGGUGCCAGCCGCCGCGGUAAUACCGGCGGCUCGAGUGGUGGCCGAUAUUAUUGAGUCUAAAGGGUCCGUAGCCGGCUUUGCAAGUCUCUCGGGAAAUCCAGCGGCUUAACCGUUGGUCGUCCGGGGGGUACUACAUUGCUUGGGACUGGGAGAGGUAGGAGGUACUCAGGGGGUAGGAGUGAAAUCCUGUAAUCCUUUGGGGACCACCGGUGGCGAAGGCGUCCUACCAGAACAGGUCCGACGGUGAGGGACGAAAGCUAGGGGCACGAACCGGAUUAGAUACCCGGGUAGUCCUAGCCGUAAACGAUGCUCGCUAGGUGUCACAACAGUCGUGAACUGUUGUGGUGCCGUAGGGAAGCCGUGAAGCGAGCCACUUGGGAAGUACGACCGCAAGGUUGAAACUUAAAGGAAUUGGCGGGGGAGCAC